rnacentral:rRNA from 1 species
AGAGUUUGAUCCUGGCUCAGAACGAACGUUGGCGGCGUGGAUUAGGCAUGCAAGUCGUACGGACCUGGGGGCAACUCCAGGUUAGUGGCGAACGGGUGAGUAACGCGUGGGAAACGUGCCCUCGAGACGGGGAUAACACCUCCAACGGGGUGCUAAUACCGGAUAAGACCACGGAGCUGCAUGGCUCUGAGGUCAAAGGUGGCCUCUACUUGUAAGCUACCGCUUGAGGAUCGUCCCGCGUCCCAUUAGCUAGUUGGUAGGGUAAUGGCCUACCAAGGCGACGAUGGGUAGCUGGUCUGAGAGGAUGGUCAGCCACACUGGGACUGAGAUACGGCCCAGACUCCUACGGGAGGCAGCAGUCGAGAGGCUUCGGCAAUGGGGGAAACCCUGACCGAGCGACGCCGCGUGGGCGAUGAAGGCCGUUAGGUUGUAAAGCCCUGUCGAGCGGGAAGAAUUGCAGGGGGCGAACAGUCCUUCUGUUUGACGGUACCGCUAAAGGAAGCUCCGGCCAACUCCGUGCCAGCAGCCGCGGUAAUACGGGGGGAGCAAACGUUGUUCGGAAUUACUGGGCGUAAAGGGCGUGCAGGCGGCUCGGUAAGAGAGAUGUGAAAUGCCCUGGCUCAACCAGGGAACUGCAUCUCUGACUGCCGAGCUUGAGCAUGGGAGAGGAUGCGGGAAUUCCCGGUGUAGCGGUGAAAUGCAUUGAUAUCGGGAGGAACACCAGUGGCGAAGGCGCGCAUCUGGCCCAUUGCUGACGCUCAGGCGCGAAAGCUAGGGGAGCAAACAGGAUUAGAUACCCUGGUAGUCCUAGCCGUAAACGGUGGGCACUAGGUGUAGGAGGCAUCGACCCCUCCUGUGCCGCAGCUAACGCAUUAAGUGCCCCGCCUGGGGAGUACGACCGCAAGGUUGAAACUCAAAGGAAUUGACGG